UACCAGCACCCCGAGUGGUCGGGACGUUUAUUGGGCCUACAGCAUCCGUAGCCGGUUCUACAAGUCUUCCGUUAAAUCCAACUGCUUAACAGGUGGGCUGCGGAAGAUACUAUAGAGCUAGGAGGCGGGAGAGGCAAGCGGUACUCGAUGGGUAGGGGUAAAAUCCGUUGAUCCAUUGAAGACCACCAGUGGCGAAGGCGGCUUGCCAGAACGCGCUCGACGGUGAGGGAUGAAAGCUGGGGGAGCAAACCGG
rnacentral:rRNA from 1 species